rnacentral:tRNA from 1 species
UGGCUGAGACGGUAAAGCGUCUGCCUACAAUGCAGAAGACCCGGGUUCGAUCCCUGG